GGUGAGAUGGCUCAGCGGUUAAGAGCACUGACUGCUCUUCCAGGGGUUCUGAGUUCAAAUCCCAGUGACUACA
rnacentral:tRNA from 1 species